GCGGGGCAACCUGGCGGCGAGUGGCGAACGGGUGAGUAAUAUAUCGGAACGUACCCUGAAGUGGGGGAUAACGUAGCGAAAGUUACGCUAAUACCGCAUACGAUCUAAGGAUGAAAGUGGGGGAUCGCAAGACCUCAUGCUCCUGGAGCGGCCGAUAUCUGAUUAGCUAGUUGGCGGGGUAAAAGCCCACCAAGGCAACGAUCAGUAGCUGGUCUGAGAGGACGACCAGCCACACUGGAACUGAGACACGGUCCAGACUCCUACGGGAGGCAGCAGUGGGGAAUUUUGGACAAUGGGCGCAAGCCUGAUCCAGCAAUGCCGCGUGAGUGAAGAAGGCCUUCGGGUUGUAAAGCUCUUUUGUCAGGGAAGAAACGGUGGGGGCUAAUAUCCCCCGCUAAUGACGGUACCUGAAGAAUAAGCACCGGCUAACUACGUGCCAGCAGCCGCGGUAAUACGUAGGGUGCAAGCGUUAAUCGGAAUUACUGGGCGUAAAGCGUGCGCAGGCGGUUUUGUAAGUCUGUCGUGAAAUCCCCGGGCUCAACCUGGGAAUUGCGAUGGAGACUGCAAGGCUAGAGUUUGGCAGAGGGGGGUAGAAUUCCACGUGUAGCAGUGAAAUGCGUAGAUAUGUGGAGGAACACCGAUGGCGAAGGCAGCCCCCUGGGUCAAAACUGACGCUCAUGCACGAAAGCGUGGGGAGCAAACAGGAUUAGAUACCCUGGUAGUCCACGCCCUAAACGAUGUCUACUAGUUGUCGGGUCUUAAUUGACUUGGUAACGCAGCUAACGCGUGAA
rnacentral:rRNA from 1 species